CCUACGGGAGGCAGCAGUGAGGAAUAUUGGUCAAUGGGCGCGAGCCUGAACCAGCCAAGUCGCGUGAAGGAUGACUGCCCUACGGGUUGUAAACUUCUUUUAUAAAGGAAUAAAGUGCGGCACGUGUGCCUUUUUGUACGUACUCUAUGAAUAAGGAUCGGCUAACUCCGUGCCAGCAGCCGCGGUAAUACGGAGGAUCCGAGCGUUAUCCGGAUUUAUUGGGUUUAACGGGGGCGUAGAUGGGUUGUUAAGUCAGUUGUGAAAGUUUGGGGCUCAACCGUAAAACUGCAAUUGAUACUGGCAGUCGUGAGUACAGGUGAGGUAGGCGGAAUUCGUGGUGUAGCGGUGAAAUGCUUAGAUAUCACGAAGAACUCCGAUUGCGAAGGCAGCUUACUAGACUGACACUGACGUUGAGGCUCGAAAGUGUGGGUAUCAAACAGGAUUAGAUACCCCUGUAGUC
rnacentral:rRNA from 1 species